rnacentral:rRNA from 1 species
UUCUCCCUGACUCCUUGAGAGUCCUGAAGGAACGUUGAAGACGACGACGUUGAUAGGCCGGAUGUGUAAGCGCAGCGAUGCGUUGAGCUAACCGGUACCAAUGAACCGUGAGGCUUAACCUUACAACGCCGAAGGUGUUU